rnacentral:rRNA from 1 species
GCGGUAUUUUGACCGUGCAAAGGUAGCGCAAUCACUUGUCUUUUAAAUGAAGACCUGUAUGAAUGGCAUAACGAGGGCUAAGCUGUCUCCUUUUUCAAGUCAAUGAAAUUGAUCUCCCCGUGCAGAAGCGGGGAUAAAAACAUAAGACGAGAAGACCCUAUGGAGCUUCAGACCCUACGGCAGCUUUAUGUAAAACAACCCCUAUAUAGAACUAACCAAAAAAUGUCUGCCGUAUUGUCUUUGGUUGGGGCGACCGCGGGGAAAUACAAAACCCCCAUGUGGACCGGGAAAAUCCUCCUACAACCAAGAGCCACAGCUCUAACAAACAGAAUAUCUGACCUUUAUGAUCCGGUAAUUACCGAUCAACGAACCAAGUUACCCUAGGGAUAACAGCGCAAUCCUCUUUUAGAGCCCAUAUCGACAAGAGGGUUUACGACCUCGAUGUUGGAUCAGGACAUCCUAAUG